rnacentral:rRNA from 1 species
AUUGAACGCUGGCGGCAGGCCUAACACAUGCAAGUCGAGCGCGCGGGACACGGGAGAGUAGUGUAUGGGGAUCUGCCCGGUAGAGGGGGAUAACUACGGGAAACGGUGGCUAAUACCGCAUACUCAGGGAUGACCCCAUAUGGGAUUCGCUAGUAGGUGGGGUAAAGGCUCACGUAGGCGACGAUCUCUAGCUGGUCUGAGAGGAUGAUCAGCCACACUGGGACUGAGACACGGCCCAGACUCCUACGGGAGGCAGCAGUGGGGAAUAUUGCACAAUGGGCGCAAGCCUGAUGCAGCCAUGCCGCGUGUAUGAAGAAGGCCUUAGGGUUGUAAAGUACUUUCAGCGGGGAGGCGUUACCCGCAGAAGAAGCACCGGCUAACUCCGUGCCAGCCGCCGCGGUAAUUC